UAGUAUUCAAUUGUCAGAGGUGAAAUUCUUGGAUUUAUUGAAGACUGACUACUGCGAAAGCAUUUGCCAAGGAUGUUUUCAUUAAUCAAGAACGAAAGUUAGGGGAUCGAAGACGAUCAGAUACCGUCGUAGUCUUAACCAUAAACUAUGCCGACUAGGGAUCGGAUGAUGUUAAUUUUUUAAUGACUCA
rnacentral:rRNA from 1 species